rnacentral:rRNA from 1 species
GGUGAACGCUGGCGGCGUGCUUGAGACAUGCAAGUCGAACGCAGUCUUCGGACUGAGUGGCGCAUGGGUGAGUAACACGUAACUGACCUACCCCCAAGUCGCGGAUAACUGGCCGAAAGGUCAGCUAAUACGUGAUGUGAUGUCCCCUUUCUGGGGGGCCAUUAAAGGUUUACUGCUUGGGGAUGGGGUUGCGUUCCAUCAGCUAGUUGGCGGGGUAAAGGCCCACCAAGGCAACGACGGAUAGCCGGCCUGAGAGGGUGGCCGGCCACAGGGGCACUGAGACACGGGUCCCACUCCUACGGGAGGCAGCAGUUAGGAAUCUUCCACAAUGGGCGAAAGCCUGAUGGAGCGACGCCGCGUGAGGGAUGAAGGUUCUCGGAUCGUAAACCUCUGAAUCAGGGACGAAAGACGCGUAAGCGGGAUGACGGUACCUGAGUAAUAGCACCGGCUAACUCCGUGCCAGCCGCCGCAGUAA